rnacentral:rRNA from 1 species
AGAGUUUGAUCCUGGCUCAGAACGAACGCUGGCGGCGUGCUUAACACAUGCAAGUCGAACGAGAACGUCCCUUCGGGGGCUAUUAAAGUGGCAAACGGGUGAGUAACGCGUAGGUAACCUACCCCAAGGUACGGAACAACGUCUCGAAAGGGGCGCUAAUACCGUAUGUGGUCUUCCUAAUUAGUUUCUGGAAGAAAAAAGCCGCAAGGCGCCUUGGGAUGGGCUUGCGUCCUAUUAGCUUGUUGGUGGGGUAACGGCCUACCAAGGCAGUGAUGGGUAGCCGGCCUGAGAGGGUGAACGGCCACACUGGGACUGAGAUACGGCCCAGACUCCUACGGGAGGCAGCAGUGAGGAAUAUUGCGCAAUGGACGAAAGUCUGACGCAGCAACGCCGCGUGGGUGAUGAAGCUUUUCGGAGUGUGAAGCCCUGUCACUGGGGAAGAAGAUAUGACGGUACCCAGAGAGGAAGCCCCGGCUAACUCCGUGCCAGCAGCCGCGGUAAUACGGGGGGGGCAAGCGUUGUUCGGAAUUACUGGGCGUAAAGCGCGUGUAGGUGGCCUUAUAAGUCGGUUGUGAAAGCCCCCGGCUCAACCGGGGAAUUGCUUCCGAAACUAUAAAGCUAGAGUGCAGGAGAGGAGAGUGGAAUUCCCAGUGUAGCGGUGAAAUGCAUAGAUAUUGGGAGGAACACCGGUGGCGAAAGCGACUCUCUGGACUGCUACUGACACUGAGACGCGAAAGCUAGGGGAGCGAACGGGAUUAGAUACCCCGGUAGUCCUAGCCGUAAACGAUGGGUACUAGGUGUGGGGAGUAUCGAUCCUCCCUGUGCCGUAGCUAACGCAUUAAGUACCCCGCCUGGGGAUUACGUUCGCAAGAAUGAAACUCAAAGGAAUUGACGGGGGCCCGCACAAGCGGUGGAGCAUGUGGUUUAAUUCGAUGCAACGCGAAGAACCUUACCAGGGCUUGACAUGCUUAUGCUGAAUCUGGAAACAGAUUGUUUUUUCCUUCGGGGAAAACAUUUGCACAGGUGCUGCAUGGCUGUCGUCAGCUCGUGUCGUGAGAUGUUGGGUUAAGUCCCGCAACGAGCCAACCCUCAUCCUUAAUUGCCAACAGUUCGGCUGGGGACUUUAAGGAAACUGCCGGUGACAAGCCGGAGGAAGGUGGGGAUGACGUCAAGUCAGCAUGGCCCUUACGCCCUGGGCUACACACGUGCUACAAUGGUCGGUACAAUGGGUUGCGAUGCUGCAAAGCGGAGCCAAUCUCAAAAAGCCGGUCCCAGUUCGGAUUGAAGUCUGCAACUCGACUUCAUGAAGGUGGAAUCGCUAGUAAUCGCGGAUCAGCACGCCGCGGUGAAUACGUUCCC